rnacentral:lncRNA from 1 species
CCGCCACACGUGGAGAAUCAGUAGGUGCAAGCCAAGGACAGUUUGCGGUAAACUGCCACCCCGGAAGCCAGCACCCACCAUCCUGGUCUCCCGGAGUUUGGGUGACCCCUGGCACUGUUACUUCUGCAUAAAAGUAGUGGAUUUAACCCCUACAGAGGCAGCGCCCCGUAUCCUCUGAAGCUGUCUCCAGCCACCUAGAGACGUCUUCAUUAUGGCUCAACUCAUUUGGGCUGUAAAUUGCUGAAGCGAAGGGCUUUUUCUUCUGCAUCCAAGUUCCCUCGGCAGGGACUACAAUAAAUCAUCACAUUAUGACGCUGAAAGUUCAUCUCUAAAAAGCUUUCAAUUUAGUUUGAUGAGACUAAUGGCGUCCAAUCGCACAGUGCCGGGCACAUAACGGGAAGUCCAAAAAUACAGUUAUUAUUGGAAUAAAAAUUCAGGCUGGGCGCAGUGGCUCAUGCCUGUAAUCCGAGAACUUUGGGAGGCCGAGGCGGGCGGAUCAUUUGAGACCAGAUGUUCGAGACCAGCCUGGGCAACAUGGCGAAACCCCGUCUCUACUAAAAAUAAAAAAAUUAGUCGGCGUGGUGGCGGACGCCUGUAGUCCCGGCUACAGAGAGCCAAGAUCGCACCACCGCACUGCAGCCUGGGCGACAGAGCAAGACCCUGUCUCAAAAAAAAAAAAAAAGAAAAAAAAAUCAGCCAAGACUUGGAAAAAGAAAUUAAAAAAAGGAAAAUUCAUACAGCCAGUAACUAUUGGGACAUCACUCACCAGGCACUGUGCUAAACUGGGGUUAGGUGCUGAGCAAAACCAGGCCCCUCUCUAGAUGGCUCUCUAGGUCCCACGACCAUAGCUUAGGUGACACCGGCACCUGCGCGCUCCACAGCCUGUCGAAAAACACUCGGGAAGCAAACAUUGAGAAGAAAAUACUCCUUCUGUGGGCCUUUAGGAAAACCGAGUGACUUUUUUCGUGAGGGGAACCCAUCUUUGCGCAGCGGACUGGUGGAGUGAUGUCGGGAGAUCGAUCGAGAAGAAUCUGGAAGAAUCCGGUAGCGCCCCCGCCCGCGGCCCAGAGUGCGCUCGCG